AUACGGAGGGGACUAGCGUUGUUCGGAAUUACUGGGCGUAAAGAGUACGUAGGCGGUCUAUCAAGUUGGGUGUGAAAGCCCGGGGCUCAACCCCGGAACUGCACUCAAAACUGAUAAACUAGAGAUCGGAAGAGGUAAGUGGAAUUCCCAGUGUAGAGGUGAAAUUCGUAGAUAUUGGGAAGAACACCAGUGGCGAAGGCGGCUUACUGGUCCGAGACUGACGCUGAGGUACGAAAGCGUGGGGAGCAAACAGGAUUAGAAACCCCAGUAGUCC
rnacentral:rRNA from 1 species